rnacentral:rRNA from 1 species
UGGGGAAUCUUGCGCAAUGGGCGAAAGCCUGACGCAGCAACGCCGCGUGCGGGAUGAAGGCCUUCGGGUUGUAAACCGCUUUCAGCAGGGAUGAAACUGACAGUACCUGCAGAAGAAGCCCCGGCUAACUACGUGCCAGCAGCCGCGGUAAUACGUAGGGGGCUAGCGUUAUCCGGAUUCAUUGGGCGUAAAGCGCGCGUAGGCGGCCCGUUAAGUCAGAUGUGAAAACCGUGGGCUCAACCCGCGGCCUGCAUCUGAAACUGGCGGGCUUGAGUCUGGUAGAGGAAAGUGGAAUUCCCAGUGUAGCGGUGAAAUGCGCAGAUAUUGGGAGGAACACCAGUGGCGAAGGCGGCUUUCUGGGCCACGACUGACGCUGAGGCGCGAAAGCUAGGGGAGCGAACA